rnacentral:rRNA from 1 species
UACGUAGGGUGCGAGCGUUGUCCGGAAUUAUUGGGCGUAAAGAGCUCGUAGGCGGUGUGUCGCGUCGGCCGUGAAAACCUGGGGCUCAACUCUGGGCGUGCGGUCGAUACGGGCAUCACUUGAGUUCGGCAGGGGAGACUGGAAUUCCUGGUGUAGCGGUGAAAUGCGCAGAUAUCAGGAGGAACACCGGUGGCGAAGGCGGGUCUCGUGGGCCGAUACUGACGUGAGGAGCGAAAGCAUGGGUAGCGAACAGG